rnacentral:rRNA from 1 species
GAGGAGCAUGCCUGUUUGAGUGUCAUGGAAUUCUCAACUCUAUUUGCUUUUGUGAAUAGAGCUUGGACUUGGAGGUAUUGCCGGACUUCAUUGUUUCGGCUCCUCUUGAAUGCAUUAGCUCGAACCUUUGUGGAUCAGCUUCGGUGUGAUAAUUGUCUACGCCGUUCUGUGAAGCAUACAUUAUGGGUUUCGGCUUCCAAUCGUCCUUCACUGGACAAUACACUAUGACCUUUGACCUCAAAUCAGGUAGGGUUACCCGCUGAACUUAAGCAUAUCAAUAAGCGGAGGAAAAGAAACUAACAAGGAUUCCCCUGGUAACUGCGAGUGAAGCGGGAAAAGCUCAAAUUUAAAAUCUGGCGGUCUUUGGCCGUCCGAGUUGUAGUCUGGAGAAGCGUUUUCCGUGC